GCGAGGUCACGUUGGUGAACACACCCUUCUCCUUGACAAUGAUCUGGAACACGUCGGGCACCAUGCCGCCGGUGUAGCGCAGGGUGUACUUCUCGCCCAGGUAGAAGUUGAUCAGGCGCUCGUAGGCGGGGUUGUCGAAGGUGGCGCGCAGGUUGCCGGGGGCGAACAUCUUGCCCUCACCUGGACGUUGAUGACAAGCGAGGGGAACGGAAUGGCGAGUACGGUAACUCGGAUGCUGGGACCGGAUCGGCGUGACCCCUCAAACCCGGGCGUGCAGACUGCCGCCUGGUUGGCUGGCUUCGUCCCUGAUGAGCGCUCGCCUGCCCAGCCCGUCGUGCGCCCUGACCUAGGUCAUUGCUCCAUUGCUUCAUUUCUCCCCUCCGCUCGCUCGCCUUCAGCGCAACACUAAGCUCCCGCUGAACGUUUGGGCACCGGCGUGGCUCACGCUCGCGCUGCAAUCUCAGCCCACAAGCUGCCACGCGUCCCUUUUCUCGCCACCGCCGCCUGUACGGCUGUACCCAUAACGUCCGGUCCCAGAGCCGAACUCACCGAUGUGGGUGGUCUCCUUGACGUGCAUCCACUUGCCGUCGUCCAUCAGCAGGAACUCGUGGCAGCCGGGGGCGUCCUUCAGGGCAAUGCAGAACACGGUGCGGGGACCGUAGAUGCCCAUGCCGGCAGCCACCUGCUCGCGGCCGGUGAUGUUGGUCAGCUUGUCGCCGGGCCACACGCCGAAGAUGGUGCCCACGGCGAAGUUGGUGUCGACGAUGGACGAGCCGUCCAGGGGGUCGAAGGCCACGCAGAAGCCCUCCCCGCCCAUGUCCACGGGCUCGGGCACCUCCUCGGAGCAGGCCAGCUUGCACACGUGCUGCAGAGGAGAGAGAGGAAAAAGAAAGGCGGAAGCGGGCAUUUAGCCGUGGGAUUUAGCAUGGAAAGGCGCGGAUCCUGCGGCGGCACCACAGCAGUCACACCCGCCCUCCCCUCCGAACCAUGAAGCAGGAUCCCCCGGCGGGGCUGGUGCGCCCGCCAUAGCUUCCCCACACUCGCACACGCCAUUGUUCACCCCCGCACACUGCUCACCGAGUACUUCAGGGCCUCGAACAGCAGCUUGUCAGCCACCAUGUCGACGGCCAGCUGCUCAUCGCCGAAGCUGUUCACGCAGGCGGUACCGGCGCACGAGGCGGUGCGGACCUGCAGGUAAAAUUUGUCAAUGCAUAACAUGUCUGGUCGACAUUGCACGUGCCGUAUGCUUGCUGGGCGUUUCUAGCUCGGCGAUCGCCCCUCACCUUGUGGGCGAUGGUGCGGGUGGCCUCAGCCAUGCUCAUCAUCAGCUGGCGCAGCUUCGGGUCGGGGGUGGCCUCGACCAGGAACUCAGCCAGGCUGUCGCCGAUCUGCGUACAGAAAAACCACGUUCACUUGCGUGCAUGUGCGCGACCGAAGCCCCAGCUGCUCCAGCCCAGCCCGAUUUGCCGGCUUACCUUGGCCUGGGUCAGAACGGCCGUGCGGCGAGACUGCACACGGGCAGCGCGGGUCGAGCGCUUCACGCGAGCGGUCACAGCGGCACCCUUGAAGGCCGAAGCGUUCGCCGAGGCGACGACAACGGGGGCGGUCGCGGCGCGGCCCAUC
rnacentral:lncRNA from 1 species